UACGUAGGGACCGAGCGUUGUCCGGAUUCAUUGGGCGUAAAGAGCUCGUAGGCGGCUGCUCAAGUCGAAUGUGAAAACUCGAGGCUCAACCUCGAGCCUGCAUUCGAUACUGGGCGGCUAGAGUCUGGUAGGGGGAUCUGGAAUUCCUGGUGUAGCGGUGGAAUGCGCAGAUAUCAGGAGGAACACCGGUGGCGAAGGCGGGAUCCUGGGCCACAACUGACGCUGAGGCGCGAAAGCUAGGGGAGCAAACAGG
rnacentral:rRNA from 1 species